UACGUAGGGUGCAGGCGUUAAUCGGAAUUACUGGGCGUAAAGCGUGCGCAGGCGGUUUCUUAAGUCAGAUGUGAAAGCCCCGGGCUUAACCUGGGAACUGCGUUUGAAACUGGGAGACUAGAGUGUGGCAGAGGGGGGUGGAAUUCCACGUGUAGCAGUGAAAUGCGUAGAUAUCUGGAGGAACACCGGUGGCGAAGGCGGAUCUCUGGGCCUUACCUGACGCUGAGGCGCGAAAGCUAGGGGAGCGAACAGG
rnacentral:rRNA from 1 species